rnacentral:rRNA from 1 species
CAGGACGAACGCUGGCGGCGUGCCUAAUACAUGCAAGUCGAACGGUCUUUCUAUGGAAGCUUGCUCCACUGAGAAGAUAGUGGCGAACGGGUGAGUAACACGUGGGUAACCUGCCCAUAAGAGGGGGAUAACAUCCGGAAACGGGUGCUAAUACCGCAUAGUUUUCUUGAUUGCAUGAUUGAGAAAGGAAAGACGGCCUUUGUGCUGUCGCUUAUGGAUGGACCCGCGGCGUAUUAGUUAGUUGGUGAGGUAACGGCUCACCAAGACGAUGAUACGUAGCCGACCUGAGAGGGUGAUCGGCCACAUUGGGACUGAGACACGGCCCAAACUCCUACGGGAGGCAGCAGUAGGGAAUCUUCCGCAAUGGACGAAAGUCUGACGGAGCAACGCCGCGUGAGUGAAAGAAGGUUUUCGGAUCGUAAAACUCUGUUGUCAGAGAAGAACAAGUUGGAGAGUAACUGCUCCAGCCUUGACGGUAUCUGACCAGAAAGCCACGGCUAACUACGUGCCAGCCGCCGC